rnacentral:lncRNA from 1 species
CGCAACUUAUGUCAUAUUUGAAGACCACACUUAAUGAGAUCUUAUCACUUUAAUUCGAGUUCUCCAGAAUGCAAAUACUAUAAGAGGCCAGUAGAACAAAACUCUCCCGGUUGUUCACCUAGGGAAGGAACUAAAUCAAGGAGCAAAAUACAGUAAGAAAAGAAGGAAAAAGAGAAGAUGGUUUUGUCUCAAAUGCAGCAUAUUUAUACUAACAAAACUAGAUUCUUCAUUCUCAAGUAUGAAAUGAAUUUGUUUCAAGAGAAGUUGAGAACUAGACACCAAAUUGAAAACCUGGCUAAUGACCUACAUUUUUUCAUGGGUGGUAUAAAAUAGUUUUCUGAUGAUAAAUAUGCAAGUGAUACCAAACAACAUAUCACUCAAAUAAAACAGAGCCGUUCCAAUUACCAUAUAUAUCAUGCACCAAUCAGCCAAAUGAAAAUGGAGGAGAACAUGGAGAAACAAAAAUAUCAAGUAGGAAGAACUGACCUCAGCUUUUGCAUGAACAAUCUCCUGAAGUACAUAAGGGAAGAGGGAGUUGGACCUUUGCUGAAUGGUUUGGAUAGCAUGAUUGGCUGCAUCCUGGACUUGAGGAUCAUGUACGGGAACUGCCUGCCAUCCAGGGCAAUGACCAUCUGAUACAAACCCAGGUCAACAAGAGAAAUAUACACACUUGCUAGAAAACAUUCAUUAGCAAUUAAUUAGAUAACAUACACAAUUGCCACCAAUUAGGAAGUACAGAUUAUAUAAUCAGCCACAUGACUUGCUUCUUAACCGUGGCUUGGACCCAGUAAUAAAAAAAUUUCUAAAUCGCAUAUCUUCAUAAAAUGAUUAUAUCCUACAUUUAAAAAAUAUUAAAACACUAUCACAGAGCACAUCUGAUACACCAUUACCAUGCCUGCAAACAUUCCCCAAGGAUUGUUAACCCAAGAAAUUACAUUGAACCGAUGGAAAUAACAACAAUGAUCCUCAGAGUGUUCUUAGUACUGAACCAUCCUACUCAUUCUCCAGUGUGGCCAAAAUAAAAGAAGUUGCAUCACAAACAAGAAACAGCAGGAAAAAAAGAAAGAAAGAGAGAGAGAACAAUGAAGCAAACCCUGUCCAGGCAAUCAUAACUCAAUUUCUAGUAAUAUCAUCACCUACUAAUCUAGAAAAUUGAGAUAAAAUAAAAAAAAAAUGUUCCUGUACUGAGUAUAUUGCUUCCUAAGGCUAAAGCUCUCAUUAGUAAAACAAAAUGCCACAUUCUAUAUAAACAUAACAUAUGACUUCGUGGGUACUAGCUUGUUCAGUUGGAAAAAUCUUCUGGGAUACGAAAACCACUCCCGGUCAUGCCAUACAUAAAUAAAAUUAAUAAAUGCACAAACAAAUAACAUAAUUAUUUAUUUAAAAAAAAAGAUAGAAAUCACCUUUCUUAACACCAAGAUCUGAAGAGGUGAAAGAGGCGGGGGAAUCACCAACGUGCUUAAAUUCCUGCAAAUCCUUAAAAUUCAACCAUGGCUUGACCCACACUUUCGCUUCGUAUAGCUUCUUCCUACCAGCAUCAAUAGCCUCCACUGUUAGAUGAUGCAUG